rnacentral:rRNA from 1 species
UACGAAGGGGGCUAGCGUUGUUCGGAAUUACUGGGCGUAAAGCGCACGCAGGCGGCUUGCUAAGUCGGGGGUGAAAUCCCGGGGCUCAACCUCGGAAUUGCCUUCGAUACUGUUUAUCUUGAGUCCGGGAGAGGUGAGUGGAAUUCCUAGUGUAGAGGUGAAAUUCGUAGAUAUUCGCAAGAACACCAGUGGCGAAGGCGGCUCACUGGCCCGGUACUGACGCUGAGGUGCGAAAGCGUGGGGAGCAAACAGG